UACGGGGGGUGCGAGCGUUGUCCGGAAUCACUGGGCGUAAAGGGCGCGUAGGCGGCGCAGGAAGUCAACGGUGAAAGUUCGGGGCUCAACCCUGAAUCGGCCGUCGAUACUCCUGGGCUCGAGCGCUGUAGAGGCAGAUGGAAUUCCGGGUGUAGCGGUGGAAUGCGUAGAGAUCCGGAAGAACACCGGUGGCGAAGGCGGUCUGCUGGGCAGUUGCUGACACUGAGGCGCGACAGCGUGGGGAGCAAACAGG
rnacentral:rRNA from 1 species